rnacentral:rRNA from 1 species
CACGUAGGGCGCAAGCGUUGUCCGGAAUUAUUGGGCGUAAAGGGUGUGUAGGCGGUUGUGUUAGUCUUUUGUUAAAUUCUUCGGCUUAACCGGGGGCAUGCGAAAGAAACGGCACAACUAGAGGAUGCGAGAGGUAUAUGGAACUCAUGGAGUAGGGGUGAAAUCCGUUGAUAUCAUGGGGAACACCAAAAGCGAAGGCAAUAUACUGGCGCACUCCUGACGCUGAGGCACGAAAGCGUAGGUAGCGAAUGGG